GAGAUAGCUGGUUAUUCAAGAGAUGGAUAAAGUCCCGUUUUAAGCCUCCACAUAAUACCAAAUAAACACUUAGACUUAAAACUUAUUCAAAUAAGGUACAGCCUAUUUGAAAUAGGGUACAACCUAUAAUAGCGGGUAAUGUCCAAAUAAGCGUGAUUAAGUAGGCCUAAAAGCAGCCAUCUUUUCAAAAAGCGUUAAAGCUUCAUCAUACUAUUAUAUUAAUUUCAACCUAAAUCCAAAACCCCUCACCAAUAUUGAAUGACUCCAUACCAAUAUGGAAAACCCAAUGUUAGAACUAGUAACAAGAAUAACCACUUCUCCCUAAACGCAAACGUAAGCCAGAAUGAACCCCUCACUGGCACUUACCGCCAAUGAACUAAAAGUAAUAACUACACAAGAAAACCUUACUUUCACUUAGCGUUAACCUUACACAAGAGCUUUUCCGGAAAGAUUAAAAAAAGAGGAAGGAACUCGGCAAACAUUAACCCCGCCUGUUUACCAA
rnacentral:rRNA from 1 species